rnacentral:rRNA from 1 species
UAGGGAAUAUUGGUUAAUGUGCGAAAGCGCGAACCAGCAACGCCGCGUGCACGAUGAAGGCCUUCGGGUUGUAAAGUGCUUUUUGAGGGGAUGAGGAAGGACAGUACCCUCAGAAUAAGUCUCGGCCAACUACGUGCCAGCAGCCGCGGUAACACGUAGGAGACGAGCGUUAUCCGGAUUUACUGGGCGUAAGGCGCGUGCAGGCGGUUCAGCAAGUUGGAUGUGAAAGCUCCCGGCUUAACUGGGAGAGGUCGUUCAAAACUACUGAGCUUGAGAGUGGUAGAGGGAGGUGGAAUUCCGGGUGUAGUGGUGAAAUGCGUAGAUAUCCGGAGGAACACCAGUGGCGAAAGCGGCCUCCUGGACCAUUUCUGACGCUCAGACGCGAGAGCUAGGGUAGCG